AUUUUCUGGUCGGUCUUAAAAAAUAAAGCAUUUGCCGGUGCCUAACGUUAACUUUCCGGUCUUGACCGGCAAAACGGUGCUUUCUGGACAAAAAAUUAUCUAGAAAGUAAAAAUUUUCUGGUUGGUCUUAAAAAACGAAACAUUUGCCGGUCCCUAACGUUCACUUACAGGUCUUGACCGGCAAAACGCUAUUUUCUAGACAAAAAAUUAUCCAGAAAGUAUAAGUUUUCUGGUCGGUCUUAAAAUAGAUUUUUUUCAGCUGUUUUACUCUUCUUUCAACUCUUUAGUCAAUGUGUGCUUGCGCGAUAUGUUUGUUGGUCCAGGAAUUAGUGCAGCCACAAUUCCAAUAGAUAUAGAACAUUUUAUUCGCAAACUAUUAUAUCUACAUACUGUGUAUUAUCAACCAAUUUAAGUCAAUCUGCGACAUUUGUCGCAAAAUUUUUUGUAUUUAUAUAAAAUUAAAGCUACUUUUGGAGCAAUCUGCUCACUUGUGAUGCUUAGUUUGUUUUUUAUGCGGAUAUUGUGAUUGGUGGAACUAACAACUAUUUGUCGUGUGUUUGGAUUUCGUAUAAACAAUCUACAAUCAUAAAUCUAGUGUAAAAAAUCACAUAAAAGGCAUCCGGUAAAGAUUGUUAAAACGUCAAUACACCUAAACAUAGUUUUAUCGUAAAAAUGUACUCGAAACCGUCCCCAAUAUAUAUCACAUACAUACAAAUCCUGAUCACUACGUGGCUGGUUCGAUAAGUACUUAGCCUCUCCUCCCCAGGGCGCCACUACCGCAAUAUCGUAUAAUACAUUCCCGUAGACAGGAGACGUUAAUUUGUCCAAUUCGUUCCUUUAUUUGCGCAUGUGCAGGCAAUGUCAUAUUGAAUUUCGUGCCAAAAUUUAAAUAAUGUGCAGUGGACCUAUUACGGCUAAAAAAGAUUAUUCUUUCUUUAACUAGUAGUAUAUUUUAACAUUUAUAGAUUAUUCUUUCUUUAACAAAGUAUUCAUAAUAUCUAAAUGUGCUUUUAAACAAAUGUUAGUGUAGAUUUCAAUUAAAUUAUUUAUCUAUAAUUAUUUAUAACUAUUUAUAUCUUUUAGAGAAAAAGAUAAGGCAAGUCUAAACUAUAAAAAAUAGGUUAGGUUAAAUGAUAUUUUCAAAUAUAUUGGAUAAGUAGAUACGAAUUAAAAUGGACCGAUGCCAACGGAAAAGACGGUAUUAUUUUAUCAGAUUGUACACUUUACUACAAAUUUAUUUUAGAGUGUAGUGUGCUUAAAGUGUAAUGAAAAGAAUUAACGGAUUCGAUGGUUGGAAAUUCAUGUCUAACAAUAAACAAAACUUUUGUUUUCAAUCUUCCCACAAGAUUUAUUUAAAAUAUUUGUAAGUUGUUAGUUCUGAAAGCUGGCGUUAUUCCUUUCUUUUUAUGUGUUUGGCUACAUAUUUGUUGAUAUCUUACCUGUGAUAGAGAAGAAGAUAGGUUCUGGGUUUUUCUAUGAUAAUGGGAAGACUAAUUUCAAGGCUUUUUUAUGCAGUUUUUGAUUUUCGAUUCUGUUAAUUGUUUGUUCCUUGUACCCAUUGUUUACUGCUACAUAUAUAUUUGUUGCAUGAUGCGUACAAUUCUAUAAUUAUAUCUCGAAGUUAUUUAUGAUAUGGAUAUUUCUGUCAGUCUAUGUAACAUACAGUGGGUGAUCAAAUUAUUAGAGCCACGUAGUAAAAUUCAAUGUUUUAGAGAAAGGGUAUAUUAUUGAAGUGUAUAAUAUAUUAAUGCGUUUGUUUCCAUUUGACUGUCUUGUUGCACUUAAUGAAUGCAAUAAAUAAUAGUCCGACAAUAGUGGUAAUGCGUGACUGAGAUGCCUUUGUUUAUCAGUGCUGCCCAGCUAGCUUGCAACUCGUGUGCCUCUUAUUUUGUAUUCUUGGUGUUUACAGUUAUAAUAAACUCUGAGAGUUUCCAUUGCUCUCCAGUGAUAUUCUGACAGUCUUAUACAAUUUUUUGGGAAUUUAGUAAACAUUGCACGUUCAUUACACUAGUGGUACAUCUCACCAAGGAAAAUAGUAGAAAUAAAAACUUUAUUAUUUAACACUAAAUUACUCCAACAGAAGCAUACCAUCCAUUUCUAAAGUUUCAAAGGCAACGUGGACCGUAUAAAGAAAAAAUUUACAUACCAUUAUUAAACAAAAGUAAAAUUUUCUGAGGUGGCUCUAAUAGCCACCCUAAUAGUUAGGAUGGGAUGAUGAAUUGUGUCAGUAUUUUGUAUUAGAUAAAAAAAGUAGCAAGUUGCCCAAAGUAUUGUUCUCUUCUUUUUGUUCUUUUCUUGAUGCCUAUUACAACGUUGGAUAAAUGGAUGCCAAAGUCUAAUAUCUCAAAAGACCUGUUUUUGAUUUACAAUGAUGAUUCGGACAACUUGCUAUUUUUUUUAUCUAAUACAAAAUACUGACACAUUUCAUCAUCCCAUCCUAACACAACAUAAAUAGGACUUUUCAACGCUUCUCAUUUGUUUCGAGCUUGUUGAUAGUUCUUAUAAUCAUCCAUGUAUAAUAUUAAUAUACGACAUUAGGAACAGAAGUUCUAAACAAAUGAGAAGGGCUGAAAAAUCCUAUUGGCAGUCUACAUAAUAUGUUACAUACACUGACAGAAAUACCCAUGCCAUAAAUAACUUCAAGAUAGAAUUGUACAUCAUUCAACAAAUAGCAGUAAACAAUGGGUACUAAGGAACAAACACAUAAUAUAAAAUCAAAGUUAUGACCAACACGGCUUUGUAUAGUAGUAAUUUGUUAUUUAAUGACAAUUUGGAUGUCCUACCAAGGAGCCAGUACAUUUGUCUGAACUUGAGAUCCAACUGCCUGCAUUUCAUUUGGAGGUGUUUGUUCCAUGUUAUCCUUUGGUUGAUAUGCAAUCCAAAUGGUAUUAACAAUAUAAAGAGGUUAAUACAAUAAAACAAAGGUUUAAGUAUUUAUUUUUUAAAUUUUAAUCCUUUAUGUAUUAGAAUCUAUAAAGUUUUGAACCAAAAGUAUUAAUUACACUUUCAUUUGCAUGCCGUCAGCAUUUGUUUAUUUAAAUGUACUAUAAAAAACCCACCAUACAGCUAAUUCCUUUAUUAUUAUUUUUAUCCUUUAAAACAAUUUGUUUAUCAUACAUUUUUGCUAGUUGUGGAAGUUCUUUUAACGGAAUGUGAUAUAACAUACUUUAAAUGAUACUUAAAAUCAUUUCAAAUCAAUAAAUCAAACACCAAUAUCAUGUAUGUACAUAUUUAUAAAUUUAUUAACAAACUGCAAUCCAAGAAAAAUAAUAUAUUAUCAACAUUAGCCAUUUACAGUAAAACCUCCAUUAAUCGAAAUAAUUGAGGGGGAGGCUGUUUCGGAUAACAAGAAUUUCGGUUAAAAAUAACAUUGUUUUUUGUAUUCUCCUUUUAUCAAAUUACAUAGUAUUGGAGAGAUAGAGCUACAAAACAUCGUUGUCGAAGGGAAACACAAAAGAAAAUAGAAGAUUCCUAAAAAAAAACACUCUAAACAUGUUCAAUUUGCUUAAUUUUAUUGCUGUUUAAUUUACUUUUUAUUGACAAAAUUAUUUAAACUGUCAAGACAUUUCGGUUAACGGAAUUUUUACUGUAUUUGCCUUAAAUGGCAAAAUUUUAAAACAAACAAACACACACAUAAAUAUUUGCACUAGAUUUUCUCCUAGUUAAAAAUGUACUGCCACAGCUUGUUCCAUUAAAUAACCGCAGGCUCAGUUGCCAGUAUUUCAAUGUUUUCUCUAAACAACUGCAAUAUUUGUAAAGCUGAUA